GUGAAUCAUCGAAUUUUUGAACGCAUAUUGCACUCUCUGGCAUUCCGGAGAGCAUGCCUGUUUGAGGGUAAUUAAAAAGAAUCCUUCACCAAUUUUUUUGGGUGAUAGGCAAUGAGCUCUCCGCGUUUAUAGCGGUCGCUUGAAAUAAAUGGUCAAGUCUCAUUUUAGUCGAGACGCGUACUAAUACUAUUACGCGAAAUCUUCAUUCUGCGCCU
rnacentral:misc_RNA from 1 species